rnacentral:lncRNA from 1 species
CAGCCCCCAGACUGUGAGGCUCUCAUGCAGUCAUGGUGAUGAUGUGCAAGUAUGGUUUGACAGAGCUGGGAAGCAAAUAUUAUCUUAAAUAAAUCUACUCUUCGGAAGCUUUUCAGGUAAAGAAAUCCUACAAAUAAAAAGUGAAGAUGGACAACCCAAAAGAAAAACUUUUCAGGACAAAGCAUCUGAAACAAAUGUGUUUAAAAGAGGAUAUCCAAAUCAUCAAUAAGCAUAUGAAGAGGUGUUUAACUUCAGUUGAUAAUCAGGGAAAUUCAAAUUAAAGUCACGAUGAGACACUACUACAUACCACCAGAAUGGCUAAAAGAAAACAGAUGUAAAAUAUCUAGUGUUGGUGAGAAUGUGGAGCAGCUGGAACUCUCACAUACUGCUGAAGGGAAUGUAAAUUGGUAUAACUACUUAGGAAAGCCAUGUGGCUGUUUGUCUGUAGCCGGCAGAAUUCUGAGAUGGCCCCCAAGAUUUCUGCUCCCUGAUGUACAUGCCCUAUGUAAUCAUCUUCCUUUUGAGUGUGGACAGCCUAGGUGGGACUGUGAAGAUGAUAGAUUUCACUUCUGUGAUUAGAUUACGCAAAGGUGAAGAGAUUUAUCAAAUGUUAUUAAAGUCCUAAAUCAGUUGACUCUGAGUUCAUCAGAAGAACCAAAAGGAAAACAAUCCUGGUGGGCUUGAACGAAUCAGGUUAACCUUGCAAGGAGAGUGGGCUCUUCCUGAAGGCAGAUAUUUGAAGGGUGAGGUGUGAGAGGGCUAUGGAGAGGUCUCCAGGGGAUGAGAGUGGUCCUGGCCCAGCAGCCAGCAAGAAAAUAAAGACUUCAGGUCUAAAACCACAAGAAACUCAAUUCCUUUAAAGCCGUGAAAAUGCUCAGAAGAGGGUUGUUUCUUGGUCAUGCCUCUAGAUGGGACCCAGCAGCCUAUACCUUGAUUUCAGCCUGUGAAGACUCGAGCAGAGGACCCAACUAAAAUGUGCCAGACUCCUUACCCAUGAAAACUGUGAAAUAACAAACUUGUGUGGUUUUAGGCCACUAAGUUUUUUAGUGAUACACAGCAAUAGAAAACUGAUGGUCUUAUAAAGCUGUAUGCAUGCAUAUCCUUUUACUCAACAAUUCCAUUUCUAGGAUUCCCUGUAGAAGGCCAUAUAUGUGUUUGCCAAAAUACGUAGACUUUAAUAUCCACAAAAGCUAUAUUUAUAAUAGCUAAAACCUGAAAACAAAGCAAGUGAGUGAGAAAAGGACUUAGGGAUACUGGUAAUAUUUUAUUUCUUGAUUUGGGUGCUGGUUACACAUGUGUGCUCAGUUUGUGAAAAUUCCCUAAGCUGUGUUCUUUCCUAAAUUAUACUUUAAUAAAAGUGAAGCGACCAGAAAUUUAUUAAUUUUUUACUACCUG